UACGAAGGGGGCUAGCGUUGUUCGGAAUUACUGGGCGUAAAGCGCGUGUAGGCGGUCUGAAAAGUCAGGUGUGAAAGCCCUGGGCUCAACCCAGGAAGUGCACUUGAAACUGCCAGGCUAGAGUAUCGGAGAGGUUGGUGGAAUUCUCGGUGUAGAGGUGAAAUUCGUAGAUAUCGAGAGGAACACCGGUGGCGAAGGCGGCCAACUGGACGAAUACUGACGCUGAGACUCGAAAGCGUGGGGAGCAAACAGG
rnacentral:rRNA from 1 species